AUUGAACGCUGGCGGCAGGCCUAACACAUGCAAGUCGAACGAGUGGCGGACGGGUGAGUAAUGUCUGGGAAACUGCCUGAUGGAGGGGGAUAACUACUGGACACGGUAGCUAAUACCGCAUACCAUCGGAUGUGCCCAGAUGGGCUUAGCUAUUAGGUGGGGUAAAGGCUCACCUUGGCGACGAUCCCUAGCUGGUCUGAGAGGAUGCCCAGCCACACUGGAACUGAUACACGGUCAAGACGCCUACGGGAGGCAGCAGUGGGGAAGAUUGCACAAUGGGGGCAAUCCUGAUACAGCCAUGCCGCGUGUAUGAAGAAGGCCUUCGGGUUGUAAAGUACUUUCAGCGGGGAGGCGUUACCCGCAGAAGAAGCACCGGCUAACUCCGUGCCAGCAGCCGCGGUAAUAC
rnacentral:rRNA from 1 species